GAUCUAUCGGGCAUCAUCAUAACAUAUACAUAUCAACCUCCUUCGUCGGGCAUCAUUUCACAUUAACAUAUCCUCCAAGACAACAUUAUACACAUAAAUAUAUAGUAAAAUCAAUACGCAUAUACAACCCACUAUAAUAAAGUGUAAGUGAUAUAAGGUAACACAUACCAUCAUACCUUACGAUUAAUCAUCAAUACAUAAUGUAAGAAGAUGCAUGAGCAUGAGUAUCAAAAUGAUAUACGCAAUCACCACUUUUCCAAGGCUAUCCAUAUCAUGACAUAAUCAAUCUAGUAUAAACAGCAUCCAACCAUCAACCACAUGCAUUAACUGACAACCGAGUUUAACCAUUAUAAUCUCAACAACGUAACUUAGACAUUCAUCAAGAAUCUAGAUCACUAAGGAAUUGCAUAGUUCAAGCUUAAGGUAGGUCGAGUCCCACUCCUAAAUACCAAUAAUGCCAAAGUUCACUUCUACUAGACUAACUUCUACCCAGAAUUAGGCUAGGUUAUCUAAAUCACACCAUAAGGGCUUAUCAAUAUUUACUAAGCCAGUAUGGGAAAAUCUUCUUCAAGUAUCCUUUCUAAGUCACCCCAAACACUA
rnacentral:lncRNA from 1 species